rnacentral:rRNA from 1 species
ACUCAAAGGAAUUGACGGGGACCCGCACAAGCGGUGGAGCGUGUGGUUUAAUCCGAAGCUACGCGUAGAACCUUACCAAGGCUUGACAUUGCUGUCGUACCUCUGGGAAACCUGAGGGUCAUUUAGUUGGACAGAUAACAGGUGUUGCAUGGCCGUCGUCAGCUCGUGUCGUGAGAUGUUUGGUUAAGUCCAUCAACGAGCGCAACCCUUGUCGUAAGUUAGAUUUGUCUUACGAGACUGCCCCGGCAACGGGGAGGAAGGGGAGGAUGAUGUCUGGUCGUCAUUGCCCUUACGUCUUGGGCUACACACACGCUACAAUGGCCGGUACAACGGGUUGCUAAGCCGCAAGGUGGAGCUAAUCCCAUCAAAACCGGUCUCAGUUCGGAUUGGGGGCUGAAACUCGCCCCCAUGAAGCUGGAAUCGCUAGUAACCGUAGGUCAGCACACUACGGUGAAUACGUUCCCGGGUCUUGUACACACCGCCCGU